rnacentral:rRNA from 1 species
GACAGAGGAGGCAAGCGUUAUCCGGAAUUAUUGGGCGUAAAGCGUCCGUAGGUGGUUUGACAAGUCUGGGGUUAAAGCCCGGAGCCCAACUCCGGAUCGGCCCUGGAAACUGUCAGACUUGAGUAAGGUAGGGGUUGCGGGAAUUCCAGGUGUAGCGGUGAAAUGCGUAGAUAUCGGGAAGAACACCAGCGGCGAAAGCGCGCAACUGGGCCAUUACUGACACUGAGGGGAGAAAGCUAGGGGAGCGAAAGGG